CAUCUGCGCAUUCCAUGCCAGGACUGAUGGGGAAGACCCAGCAGCUGUGGGUGGCACCAUUCCCUGGGCUGGGAUUACAUGCUUCCAGGAAUGAGCAGUAGAAAACCUAAGACAAGAGAGUUGAUGAUUCUCUCUUUACACCAUGUGGGUCCCAGGAGUUAAGCUUUGGGUCAUCAGGCACCCUAGCCCACUGAGCCACCUCAAGGACUCCAAAGCUGGGCCAUUCCUACAGGGAAUAAGCCAAGAAGAGCUGGAGAGAGCGGACAAUCUUGACCACUGGAUGGGCUUUAAUGGAUUCUUCCCCCAAGAAGAGCUGUUUGACAUUUGAGCACACGAAGAGCCGUAUCCCGUCUUCUUUUAAAACAGAGCUUGGGCAGUCUAUUUCUUAGAAGAUUGAUGAGUUUGUGCUGGCUGGAAAAGGAUGUGUCUCAAGAGGAUGCUGGGGAGAAUUAAAAGAGCAUUAAUCACAA